rnacentral:rRNA from 1 species
AUUGAACGCUGGCGGCAUGCUUAACACAUGCAAGCCGAACGGCAGCAUGACUUAGCUUGCUAAGUUGAUGGCGAGUGGCGAACGGGUGAGUAACGCGUAGGAACAUGCCCUUAAAGAGGGGGACAACUUGGGGAAACUCAAGCUAAUACCGCAUAAUCUCUAUGGAGAAAAGCUGGGGACCUUCGGGCCUGGCGCUUUAAGAUUGGCCUGCGUACGAUUAGCUAGUUGGUAGGGUAAAGGCUUACCAAGGCGACGAUCGUUAGCUGGUCUGAGAGGAUGACCAGCCACACUGGAACUGAGACACGGUCCAGACUCCUACGGGAGGCAGCAGUGGGGGAAUUUUUGGACAAAUGGGCGCAAGCCUGAUCCAGCAAUGCCGCGUGCAGGAUGAAGGCCUUCGGUUGU